rnacentral:piRNA from 1 species
UCUGAUGGAGGCAGUUCCUCAAUCGAGGUU